AGGUUUGAAUAUUUAGUAAUCUUAAUCUGUGCCUAUUGGGUUGUAUGUGUAUAUAUGAAUGUAAUGAGUUUGCUGCCAGAAAAAUAAAACUUUAAAAAAUAGAUUUUUUUUUUUCCCUGUGGAGACUGUCUGCAGGUGGCUCCUUGUCAUUUCAUUAGUGUGAAGCCAACUCCAUUUUUUGUCUUGUUGUCAGCCUCUUUGCAUUCUUGGUGUGUGGUUACUUUGAAGAUAGUUAUAAUUGUGAGUAUCCUCUGAGGUCAGCCUAAAUCUUGCAGCAUUGUGCUUCCCCAGUAGAUUUAUAUUCAUGCAGCUCAUCAGUUCUCUGCAGAUGUAACAUGUGAAGUCUUAGAAGCAAUUUGGUGUUGUAAGCACAGCAUUACUUUAAGCUAAUAAACUUUGCCUCUCAACAAAGCUAAUUGCCUUAGAUAAAGCAGUGAACUGAUAAGAUUUCAUGGUGUCUGGUGCCUGAGCAAGCCUAGUCCCUGUUAAUGCCAGUAGCUGCAUUUCCAGUGUAGUACAGUUAAUACAGGAAUAGCAUCUGUGAGGGCCACGGUAUUUAGCAUUCCCUGGUUCUCAGCUGAAUAAAUUCACUUGAGUGCUGAAAUUAAAAGCUUGGCUUUUAUGUCAAGGAGGUGUAUUUUUUUCAUGCCCACCAGCAUUCUUGAAUAAGCCUUGUUUUUGUGCUCCAAAAUGCAAGAUGAGAAAUGUCAGACUGAACUUACUGAAUAAACAGAGGUGCUUUAUGAGCUAAAGGAUAUUUAUCUGUAUCUAUAGAUACGUUUAAAUGUGGGGGAGCGCUUUGGAGGACAAAACUAUUCCAGAGUUGCCAAUUUGUUUAGUAACUGAAGGUAAUGUACCUAUUGUGCUAGGGUUCACCAUAAAAAAGGUUAAUUUAUUUGCACUCUUAGAAGCAAAUUUGGUCACGUACUACUUCUUCUUGUCAUGCAACAACAGGAAAAUUACAAUGUUUUUGGUUUUUUAGGUCUUUUUAGAUGGAUGUACUAGGACUAUUUGUUGCCGUCUCACUUUGCACUUCUUAUCUGCUCUGACACCUAAAGGUCUUUACUGGUACCUAGUUUGUAGUUACACUUAGGAGAAUUUAAAGGCUUCUGUACCUACUGCAGGUUGUGUAGGGUGCUCUGCUGUCAGCUCCUCAUGUAUCUUGUGCUGCUCUCUGAGGACAUGUGAUUCCAGUCAUUGUAACCCUCUGUUCAAAAUGUCUGACUUGCUGCCUUCAGUGAUUGUCAUUUCUGUGCCUUCUUCAUAAUGUUGAGAAUGACUAAGGAAUCUUUUGAUUUUAUUUAUCCUUUUUUUUUUCUAUGGGAUGAGUGAAUAGAGUCCCCUUUUCCAAAACAUUCACAAAUAAGUUGUCAAGUAAAUUUCACAAUUCUUUAAUUUGGCAAAGAGUAAACUCCCAAUCUUUGUCAUUUUAAGUCACUCAGUUAUCUAAAUUGACUAUCAUACCUCAGACAUAACAAACUGUGGUGGGGAUAACCAUGUUCAUGUUAUGCCAUCUCCAAAUAGCCUACUGUUUCUAUUUUUUUUUUUUUUCCAGCUGCAAUGGCUAAGGGUAAACUUAAUUCAACUUUCAUCACCAAAUGCCAUCUAGUUCUCCUUUAUUCACUACUUUAUUGGUGAACUUAUAGAGAUAUUUUAGACUCAUCAAACACAGUUGUCCUAGUUAGAGGCUGACCUUGGUUGCAUCCCAUCUUACUGUAACCUGAGGUAUGGUAGUGCUAAAGUUGCAGAAGGCAUUGGUAUGAGAGACAUAAAAUGAUGUUUUGGAACAAGGUCUUUAUAUUCUAGGAAAGUCAGUCUGAGAGGAAGAUGAUUAAGCUGAAAAACUCAGAGGUUGUUUUUCAAAAAAGACCCAGUUUUCAGGAAAUUUUACGUGACUUAUUUUUCAACUUUUAAUUACAAAUAUUUAAUUCUCAAACUUCAGACAUUUUUUAACUCAGUUUCUUCUCUCCUGGCUCCUUACUGAACGGAGUUUAAGUACAAGGUUUUAAUAAGCAGGCUUGAAUUAUCUAAUGGAGAAAAAAAGAAUAUGGUUCUUCAAUUUUUUCAAAGCUGAUAUGUCCUCAUGAUACAUUAUAAAGGAUGCAGAAAGAUGUUAACAGUGGAAGAGUUAUAUUCACUACUUUCUGUGAUAUUCAAAUGAUUUUGACUUACUCUGACAUUUGUAGUUUCACAAGAAUGAAAUGUUCAUGAAUCUUCAUGGAUUGUUUUUUUUCCUCUCUGUGACAGUGGGUUUAAAAGCCUUAUAUAUGUAUUAGUAUUUAUGUCUUUCCUAUUAGAGUUAUGACUUGCAGCAGCCUCUGUUAGUGGUAAAGAUUGUUUUAUAAAAGUAAGGAGACAGGAAUUACUUUCCAGUCAAUUAUUACAUUUAUGUAAAACAAUUCACUAUCAAUUGUAUGAAAAAAAAACUGUGAGUCAGCACCUCUAACACUGACUUUGAAAUAUUCUUAAACUAAACUGGAGGACUGCAUGUAGAUAGUAUGCUUAAAAAUUAGAUUUCAAUAUCAGUUCUGUCCUAUUGUGUUCUGAAUGCUUUAAGAAUAUCAAAGUUGUCAUUUCUUUGUAUAUCUUUGGGUGAUAUCUUUGAAAGAAAAGCAUUUAAGACCCCAGCAUACUACUGAAGCAUGCAUUGUGAGGUGACAGCAACCAAUAACUUCUGGAGCUCUCUGUGCAAAGCUGUGAUCCUCAUAGUGGAGAGAACCUGAAGAGUCCCAGAUAAAUUUUCAUUUUCUUUCCUCCCCUCCCCACCUUGCUGCUAGUCACUUAGCAGAUCAGCAGGAUCUUUAACCUCACUUCUGCAUUUUUUCUUGCUGCUUGUUUAUCUUUGCAGGACUGGAUUGAGCUUUUCCCUUUUCCCUAGAAUGCCAGGCAUUUCUCCACUGCUUCUCUCUGGUGAUGGUUUGAAUUUGACCUCCUUCUGUCCUCUGUGUAGAUGGCAAAUAGCUUUGUGCACUGUUACUUCCCAGGCAUUUUUGUAGGCCUUCAUACAUUUUUGUGGACAUUUGUAGAAACAGCUUGCACACAAGGCAAAGUAGCUGUCCCUGAGCAGCUGGGUAUUUAUGACCCAUUAACAUGUGCUGAGUUUUGAGACUUUGUCAAAUGAUGAUACAGAGCUGGAGUACUGAUCAUGAGGGAGGUAUUUGCUGCCUCAGUGCUUAGCACUUCAAUGCAAUUUUUUAUUGCUUUGAUGUUAUAUUUAGUGGUGUGUUGGGAAGUGUUUUGUGCUUACAGAAUCAGGCUCUUUGUGCUGCUAUUUUAUGCAGUAUGUCUGGCUGGAAAUUCUCUUCUUUGUGUUAGCUGAUUCUCCAUCAAAGAAAAUUUGAGACUACCUUUUUUUUUUUUUUUUUUUUUUUUUUACGCUUUGGAAACCAAGCUGGUCACAGCUGUGUUACUUAGGGUAACUGUCUGUAACCAGAGCCUUUGACAGCUUGA
ensembl:lncRNA